AUUGAACGCUAGCGGGAUGCUUUACACAUGCAAGUCGAACGAGUGGCGGACGGGUGAGUAAUAUAUCGGAACGUGCCCAGUAGCGGGGGAUAACUACUCGAAAGAGGGCUAAUACCGCAUACUAUGGGAUCGGCCGAUAUCGGAUUAGCUAGUUGGUGGGGUAACGGCGCACCAAGGCAACGAUCCCUAGCUGGUUUGAGAGGAUGACCAGCCACACGGGGACUGAGACACGGCCCAGACUCCUACGGGAGGCAGCAGGGGGGAAUUUUGGACAAUGGGCGAAACCCUGAUCCAGCCAUCCCGCGUGUAGGAAGAAGGCCCUAGGGUUGUAAAGUACUUUCAGUCGGGAGGCGUUACCGACAGAAGAAGCACCGGCUAACUCCGUGCCAGCCGCCGCGGUAAUUC
rnacentral:rRNA from 1 species